UGAACGCUGGCGGCGUGCCUAAUACAUGCACGUCGAGCGAACAGAUGAGGAGCUUGCUCCUCUGACGUUAGCGGCGGACGGGUGAGUAACACGUGGAUAACCUACCUAUAAGACUGGGAUAACUUCGGGAAACCGGAGCUAAUACCGGAUAAUAUAUUGAACCGCAUGGUUCAAUAGUGAAAGACGGUUUUGCUGUCACUUAUAGAUGGAUCCGCGCCGCAUUAGCUAGUUGGUAAGGUAACGGCUUACCAAGGCGACGAUGCGUAGCCGACCUGAGAGGGUGAUCGGCCACACUGGAACUGAGACACGGUCCAGACUCCUACGGGAGGCAGCAGUAGGGAAUCUUCCGCAAUGGGCGAAAGCCUGACGGAGCAACACCGCGUGAGUGAUGAAGGUCUUCGGAUCGUAAAACUCUGUUAUUAGGGAAGAACAAAUGUGUAAGUAACUAUGCACGUCUUGACGGUACCUAAUCAGAAAGCCACGGCUAACUACGUG
rnacentral:rRNA from 1 species